AUUGAACGCUGGCGGCAGGCCUAACACAUGCAAGUCGAGCGAGCGGCGGACGGGUGAGUAAUGUAUGGGAAUCUGCCCGAUAGAGGGGGAUAACUACUGGAAACGGUGGCUAAUACCGCAUACUAUCGGAUGUGCCCAUAUGGGAUUAGCUAGUAGGUGUGGUAAAGUCUCACCUAGGCGACGCUCCCUAGCUGGUCUGAGAGGAUGACCAGCCACACUGGGACUGAGACACGGCCCAGACUCCUACGGGAGGCAGCAGUGGGGAAUAUUUCACAAUGGGCGAAAGCCUGAUACAGCCAUGCCGCGUGUGUGAAGAAGGCCUUAGGGUUGUAAAGCACUUUCAGCGGGGAGGCGUUACCCGCAGAAGAAGCACCGGCUAACUCCGUGCCAGCAGCCGCGGUAAUAC
rnacentral:rRNA from 1 species